GAGCCAAGUUCGAACUUGAUUUUUAAGCUUGUUUAAUAAACGAACCGAGCUUGAGUUUCACAGUAUUCGGUUUAUUAAGGCUUGUGAACAGGCUAUUUUGUAAAAACAUUUAUAUUAAUCAUUAUAGGUUAUUAUAUUAUAAAUAUUUAUUAUAUUAUUUAUGAAUGUUCUAAAAAUAAUGUAUAAUUUAAAACUAUAAUAUAAUCAAUAUAUUUAUAAAAUAUAGUUAUUUGUAAUU
rnacentral:misc_RNA from 1 species